UAUCUCUGUAGAGUCUGCAUAUCAAUAAGCGGAGGAAAAGAAACUAACUAGGAUUCCCUCAGUAACGGCGAGUGAAGCGGGAAGAGCUCAAAUUUGAAAUCUUCAAGGUUCUACCUUGACGAAUUGUAGUUUAAAGAAGUGUUUUCUGUUGGAGUUUUGGUAAAAGUUCUUUGGAAUAGGACAUCAUAGAGGGUGAGAAUCCCGUAUUUGACCAUUAUUUCCAGCUUUGUGAUACACUUUCAAAGAGUCGGAUUGUUUGGGAAUGCAGUCCAAAAUGGGUGGUAAAUUUCAUCUAAAGCUAAAUACUGGCGAGAGACCGAUAGCGAACAAGUACCGUGAGGGAAAGAUGAAAAGAACUUUGAAAAGAGAGUUAAACAGUACGUGAAAUUGUCAAAAGGGAAGCGUUUGACACCAGUGUUGUUUUCUCGAAAAUCAAUUAAAAAAGGCAGGAUUUUGUGUUGUAUUGACUUUAUCAGCUUUCUGCACUCUUUUCUUGUCUUUUUUAAUGCACUUUUCGUUUAACAAGUCAACAUCAAUUUCUUUUGUUGUAAAAGGGUCAUUGGAAGGUGGCUUUCUUUUCGGAGAAAGUGUUUAUAGCCUUUGCCUCUGCAAUCGGAGAGAUUGAGGUCUGCAGCGUAGAUCCUUCUGGAUUAGAUACACUUGUGCUAAGUUUAACCGUUUCAUAGACAACUUGUUGACUAUAUUUAGUCAUGUCGCUUACUCGCUUAUGCUAAUUUUACCUACGCUUAGGAUGUUGAAGAUGUAGCACAUCAU
rnacentral:rRNA from 1 species